AGUGAACGCUGGCGGUAGGCCUAACACAUGCAAGUCGAACGGCAGCACAGAGGAGCUUGCUCCUUGGGUGGCGAGUGGCGGACGGGUGAGGAAUACAUCGGAAUCUACUCUGUCGUGGGGGAUAACGUAGGGAAACUUACGCUAAUACCGCAUACGACCUACGGGUGAAAGCAGGGGCUCUUCGGACCUUGCGCGAUUGAAUGAGCCGAUGUCGGAUUAGCAAGUUGGCGGGGUAAAGGCCCACCAAGGCGACGAUCCGUAGCUGGUCUGAGAGGAUGAUCAGCCACACUGGAACUGAGACACGGUCCAGACUCCUACGGGAGGCAGCAGUGGGGAAUAUUGGACAAUGGGCGCAAGCCUGAUCCAGCCAUACCGCGUAGGUGAAGAAGGCCUUCGGGUUGUAAAGCCCUUUUGUUGGGAAAGAAAUCCAUCUGGUUAAUACCCGGGUGGGAUGACGGUACCCAAAGAAUAAGCACCGGCUAACUUCGUGCCAGCCGCCGCGGUAA
rnacentral:rRNA from 1 species